UAAGUAUAAAUAGUUAACUUUGAAACUGCGAAUGGCUCAUUAUAUCAGUUAUAGUUUAUUUAGAUGAAGAAUACUAAUUCGGAUAACCGUAGUAAUUCUAGAGCUAAUACAUGUGUAAAGUCUUGUAGACUGCAUUUAUUAGAAUGAAAACCAUAGGUUUCGGCCUAUUCGUGAGUAAUAAUAACUAAUCAUAUCGUAUGCUUAAGUAACGAUGUGUCUUUCAAGUUUCUGCCCUAUCAGCUUUCGGUGGUAAUGUAUUGGACUACCAUGGCAGUAACGGGUAACGAAGAA
rnacentral:rRNA from 1 species